CUCCGGUUGAUCCCGCCGGACCUGAGUGCUAUCAGAGUGGGAGUAAGCCAUGCGAGUCAACGUAGCAAUAUGGGGCAUACGGCUCAGUAACACGUAGUCAACAUGCCCAGGGGACGAGGAUAACCUCGGGAAACUGAGGAUAAACCUCGAUAGGCCAUGAUUUCUGGAAUGAUUCUUGGCUCAAACCUAUAUGGCCCCUGGAUUGGACUGCGGCCGAUCAGGCUGUUGGUGAGGUAAUGGCCCACCAAACCUAUUACCGGUACGGGCUCUGAGAGGAGAAGCCCGGAGAUGGGCACUGAGACAAGGGCCCAGGCCCUAUGGGGCGCAGCAGGCGCGAAACCUCUGCAAUAGGCGAAAGCCUGACAGGGUUACUCUGAGUGAUUUCCGCUAAGGGGAUCUUUUGGCACCUCUAAAAAUGGUGCAGAAUAAGGGGUGGGCAAGUCUGGUGUCAGCCGCCGCGGUAAUACCAGCACCCCGAGUGGUCGGGACGAUUAUUGGGCCUAAAGCAUCCGUAGCCGGUUCUGCAAGUCUUCCGUUAAAUCCAGCCGCUCAACGGAUGGGCCGCGGAGGAUACUACAGGACUAGGAGGCGGGAGAGGCAAGCGGUACUCAGUGGGUAGGGGUAAAAUCCUUUGAUCCAUUGAAGACCACCAGUGGCGAAGGCGGCUUGCCAGAACGCGCUCGACGGUGAGGGAUGAAAGCUGGGGGAGCAAACCGGAUUAGAUACCCGGGUAGUCCCAGCUGUAAACGAUGCAGACUCGGUGAUGGGCUAGCCUUGUGCCAGCCCAGUGCCGCAGGGAAGCCGUUAAGUCUGCCGCCUGGGGCCUACGGUCGCAAGACUGAAACUUAAAGGAAUUGGCGGGGGACCC
rnacentral:rRNA from 1 species